UGUCUUCUCAGAGAGGAAGCCCAGACAGCACCUGCUGACCCUGCCAGCCCAAACCUCAGCAAGUCUUUCACUUUAGAUAACGUCAUAGAGUUUAGACCAAAGUCUGCACUGGACAUUGAUGCCAGAGAGGCCAAUUUCCUCCCCAGCUCAAGACCAACUCCCAGAACAAGCAACAAGGCUCGACAGACAGAAGACAAAGGCUCUGAAAUUCAACUGAACAGUUGUCCUGUCUGAACUCAGAGGACUGGUCUCAGUUCCUGCAACAGGUGUGUGCUAUUCUGGAGUCAGUAGACCGGGCUGGAUCAGUCAAUGCCACAGCACCACGCACUAAACUCAACCUGCUCUGUUACCUCUGCACUGUCUGUAACCACAGAGAGACGGCCACACGCCUCAUACACUCCCAGCUGUUCCCUGUGCUGGUUCAACAGAUGUGACAUGCUCCGAACUGGGAUAUAAGGAGCAAAGUGAUGCGAGUGAUUGGACUGAUGGCCUCCCACUGCUCAGAGACGACAUUCCUGUCACAGAG